rnacentral:lncRNA from 1 species
AUGGCACUGUUUCUCUGGGACAUACCUCUGCAGACAUGGACAGUGAUGUGUGGUGACAGCAGUUCAUCCUGUGACUUCCCUUCACUCCUCAAGCUGUUGGGAUCCAGUGGAAGAGGAGAGUUUUGUGGUGCUGAGGCUGCUUAUUUAAUACCUGGUGGAGAGGAAGGCGCCCGCCAUUAUCACCUGCUGUACUGUGAUUCAGUUGUGUUGGUAUUGGUGUUGCCCAUGAUAUUAAUCUACUUCAAAAUGUUAACUUCUGCUCUGCAGGUCAGCGUGGCUGCAGGAGGACCUCCUCCUUUCCCAAGACCACCCUACAUGCCCUACCCCAUGGGGGGCUACAGAGAAUCCUUCAUGGGCUAUCCGCCACCUCCUCCACCCUGGUGGUUUCCAAGACCUCGGCCAGUACCUCUGUCUCCAGAAUUUGGAGAGCCAUUGUGGAAUUGGAAUAGGAAGCUCAGCUAUCCGGAACAGGCUGUGCCUGUGAGUCAAAAAGCCACCUGAUGCCCAUUUUCCAAAUGUUUUCCCUGUCCCACGAAGACUCUUCCUCUCUUAUCUGUCUGAGUGAUUCCCCUAAUAAACCUUGUGUGGUGCUGACUUUGCCUAAGUGU